rnacentral:lncRNA from 1 species
AUCGAGCCUAAGCCAGUCUUUUGGAAGACAAGAAGCAAUGAUGUCCUGAUUUGCUGAGGUUUGUUUUGUGGCCUAACAUCUGAUCUACCCUGAAGACACUUCCAUGUGCUGAUGAGGAGAAUGCAUACUCUUCAGCUGUUGAGUGGGAUGUUCUGUGACUAUCUGAGUGGAACGUAAUAGGCAUUUACACGGGAGUGGAGAUUGAAAGAGAUGAAAAAGGGUGCUCAAGAAGACAAA